UCACAAGGGCCACCCAGAACUGGCUCAACUCAAGUUCCUGGAGGAGAUCACCCAGCUUGUCAUGCUAGAGCACUUUUUCAAUGUGCUCCCCAACGAGAAGGCGACGCAUUCGUAUGUCAAUCCAUAUUAACUUUCGAUGCCAUUGACUGCGCCUACCAUGGUGACCACGGGUAACGGGGAAUCAGGGUUCAAUUCCGUACAGGGACCCUUACAAAUGGCUACCACAUGCAAGGAAGGCA